rnacentral:lncRNA from 1 species
UAGAUGCUGACUUAUAUCACGGCCGAAGCAACUCCUGCAGCACCUUCAAUAAUGACAUCUUAUCUAAGAAAGAAGAUUUCAUAAUACAGGAUGUGGAAGUAUGGACAUUUGAAUGGAUUCUUUGAGUGCUCCUAGGAUGUUGAAACUAGAUCCUAAGUGCAGGCUGCUUCACAACUUACACGCUUUCUUUCUGAAACUGUAUCAGAGCAUGACUACACACAAAUAAAAUCUGAGUCAGUUUUUAAGAGGCAGAAACGGACAGAACAAUCAAUAAGAGGACCAUUUUGUGUUAUUCUUUUUACUCCCUUCCCUCCAGUACUCCUUCAGAGAAAAAUGGUUAUGAAGACAUUCAUAGUGUUUGAGUUGUUAAAACAGGCUGUUUCAUUUGUGAAAGGUGCAGCUGAGCUCUAAUCAAGUUAGUGUUACAAGACAUCGGUAUAUGGGAAACUAGGAAAGGAAGCAGAAAGAAAAAAGAACCUGCAUUUUUAUGCUAUUGGACCACUUCUGCCUUAUCACAAAAAUACAACUGUGUUUAAACAAAGAACCCUAAGCCCAUAAUGGCAGAAUGCUGGACUUGACAGAAUGCUGUCCUGAUCUUAGAGUUAAAAGCAAAAUAUGACAAGGAUGCAUUGUCUUCAAUUAAUCACAUUUAAAAAAUUUUUAGAAAUGGUGGUUCACUUCCAUGUUUUAAAAUGUUACAGUGUAUUCUAGGACUAUUAGUAGAGCUUCGUUUAGGUACUACUUUCCCUCUUUUUUAAGAACGCAGAAGAAGAAAGAGAACUACUUAAAUACCAAGUGGUUUUUUUUAUAACCAUCAGUAAUUCAUACGUCUACGCCAGAUUCCAUGCAGUUAUGAACUGAUGUUGUACAGCCGGAAGUCUAAAACACACUGCACAUAAGCUUUUCACACUGUUUUCUUCCACUUGGUCUAAUAGCCAUAAAUAAGGUUCUAACUGAUUUUGCUUUAAAUUAUACUGGAAGCUGCUAAUAAAAUACUGCUUUGAGAGGCA